UUCAUGCUAAAUUUGGCAUUUGGCAUAUUGCUCUGAAUGUUGCAUACAAACAUGAGACAUGUUUAUAAUUAUAUUUUGACUUGUAUGCAUUCAUGCAUAUUCAUAAUGCAAAGACUCAAGCAUUUGUUUCAUUUUAUUUUGUAAUCUCAGAUGUACUCUGAAUGAUUAUUUAAUGAAUUAAAUACACAAUGCAAUACUCUGUUUCUGACAAAUCCUUCGUUUUACGUGUAAGCAACCAACCUAGAAGUCAUGCACCACAAAUGACGACCUCAAUUUACAAUGCAUGCACGCGAGUAAAUCAGUUGAGAGAUAGUCAUAAAGUAGAUAGUGCUUCUCUUGUGAAUGGUACAACUUGUGCAACUCACCGUAAAGUUCACAUUAUUGGGUCAUUGUGUGAGUGCAUUGACCUCUGACCUUUUGACCUAUAAAAGAGUGCUCUGCUUUGUUAACAAUUGAAGAUUCAUUUGUUCGUGAAAGCUUCCAAAGCUGGAAAAUGACAGAAACUAUUGUAAUAUGUAUCUCCAAAGCUCUGUUGACAUCAAAUGCAAGCACAAGGGGAACAUGUGUUACAGCAACAUGCUUUAACUUAGUAACACGAUGGCUUACAUGGGUUAUUUUUCAUCUGCAUCAUCACUUUCAAAACCUGCUACCCCUCAGCACCAUGUGCUCAAUACUGAAUCAGACACAUGUUUUAACUAGUCUUUCAAAAAUGUUCUUUCACAAACCACUACAGAUGACCUACAGGGAGGUGUUAUGAUAUUGGUGUAUGAACAAGAACAAUGCUGAGCUACAAAGCAUAGAGCUGAGAAGAGCCUUUGAGGAAGCAGAGGGUGAACUAAUAUAUAUAGGAUUACUUCCCAGGCUGUGCGGGAAGGAGGAGGAAGAGAGGGAGGAGAAACAGGCUGCAAAGAGUGUCAGAGAGGGCAGGAAUCAUAUAGUAAAGAAUAACGUGAAUCAAGAUCCAGCAGGUCUG
ensembl:lncRNA